CUCUAAUUGCGACAUUCUGCUCUGAAAUGGACCCGCAAUGGACGCGCCAUUCUCUGUUGAUUGCGCUAACAUUUCUAGCCAUCUGCAUUGAACAGGUUGAAAUGAUCAGGUACAGAGGUAAUCGGAAGAUCAUCAUAAAAUGCUGUGGACGAAAGUCCUGCUCGAAAUUGCCUCUGAAAAGAGCAAAUCGAACAAUUAGCACACAAUCAACCAAACGGAAUUUCAUUUCCUCCUCAAAAUUUUCGACCGAAAGCUCGGAUGAAGGCGUUGAAAACCGUUCUGACGAUCCAAAAGCUGAAUUACAACCGGAAACAGUGAUCAUUCACGAAAGCACGGAAAUUUUCAUCUCGACACAUAAUAUGGUUGCGACGAACGCUGACAGUUCGAUGAGCGUUGAAAUAAGCACAAUUCCAUCAUCUACAUCUCCUCGUCCUGUAAUUUAUUUAACCAAAUAAGAAUUUUUGUCUCUAUUGUUUAUAUUUUUUUGUUCAAAUUGGGAAAUUGAGGAAACGACGACGCCAGCUGCACGUUGUUUCGCUCCCGCCUGCCCUCAGGAAAAUUGCACCAAAAAUGAUGCUUUGUUCUCUCGUGGACUUGACAACGUCACCAAGUAUCUUACAAAUCCUGCGCAGUACGGACUUUGGAAGAGCAGGAAUUUCCGUAUUUUCAUGUUUAGCCAUGAAUUUCGAACAUGGAAUGACGCGAGAAAGACCUGUUGUUCUAUAGGAAUGAAGCUUUUGAGCCUGGAUUUCGCUUACAAAUACUCUGUCUUGUCCCAAAUUCUUGGGGAUGAUAGCGCUGCCCUCGAAGCGAAAUUUUGGACUUGGGGCACAGAUAACGGUUGCCCCGGAGCAUUCGGCUGGUGCGCUGAGAACAAAGUGGUCAGGAAUGCGAUGUGGGCCAGAAACGAGCCUCGCGUCGGCGGCCACUGCCUCGCAGCGGAUGUCAGCAGCAAAAACACGACACUGAUGACUGCAGACUGCCGACUGGCUCUGCGAUUUAUUUGUGAAAUCCGGGACACGAGAAAUUCUACGAGCAAAGGAGAGGCCAUGAAAGACGAGUGCGCAGCCAAUUUGAACGUGUCAAUCGAUGAGCAGGACAACAUUUUCAACAGCUCAUCUUUCAGCGCAAGGACCAAGUGUUUCUUGCAAUGUUUGGGCGAGAGUGGAGGAAUUGUACAUAAUGGUCGCGUUGUGGACGAGCGCCUGAUAAAUUUGGCCAAAAUCACAUCACCCGCCGAUGACGUCACACAACUGAACACAAAUUUACAAGCUAUCGACGAGUGCUCCAAAUCCAGCAAGUUUUUAAUUACACCGGGGGCUGGGUUGCGAGCUGAUUUGGUUUUUCCGCCGGUCAGAAGUCAAUAUGGCGUCGAAAUUUAUAGUUGUUUGAUUAUACGCCCGUUUCGAAGCUGCGCAGUAAACUUGUGCGCAUCUCAAUCAUGCGCAGUAUGAUGAGAUCGCUUCUAAAUAUCUUUGAGAGGUCAAAACGCAUCACUGCGCAAGCGUGACCAAAAUCGAAACCUUCUGCGCACUCGUUAUUCCCACCAGGGGCUGGAUUGCGACCUGUGUUGGUUCCCGCCGGCCAGGAGUCAAAAUUUCGUCGAAAUAAUGGAGGCCAAUCAGGAGACAGUCCAGCAGCCAAUCGGAAGCGUC